GGUUCCGGUCGUAGAACCAUAGAGAGAGGGUAAGGAAGGUAGAGAGUCGCUUUUCUCUUUAAAGUUAUAGAGAUGCGGGAGGAGAAGGUGAGCUACGGCUAGCCCUACGUUCCGGUUUCCAUAUGGCGCCCUCACUUUGACUAUACAGUAUAAGCUCCUUUUGUGGUUUGGCAUCCAUCUGUACGCCUCGGGAGACGACGGAAGAGUGCGCCUUCCGGGGGUAAAGUCAAACCGCUAGCAAGUUACAGCACCUGCUUUGGCUUCAGAGAUAAAGUAUGUACGUAAGCUCCAGUAAAGUCAAUAGAACUUCCUUCUGAGUGGAGUUUUAUAGGCUUCUACAGAAUAGACUUAACUUUCAGGUACUAUCCUGGUCACUUUAGCCCUGCCCUACCCAAGUAGCACUGCCUUCGUUUCUUCUCUCCUCACCCUGAAAUUAAAGCAGAAGAGCAAUGCUUGGGGGCCACUAAAUCGUCUGUGUCUGGAAGGAUAACACUUCAUGCAUCCGAAGAGAUUAAUUUGAGCGAGGUGUCUGGUGAAGAGGGAAGGAAUUCUUGAAGAAUUGAUGCUUUUGAAUUAUGGUGCUGGAGGAGACUCUUGAGAGUCCCAUGG